rnacentral:tRNA from 1 species
GCUUUUGAAAGAUUGUAGAUAUCUAUUGAUCUUAGGAAUCAAAAACUCUUGGUGCAACUCCAAGCAUAAGCU